CUACGGGAGGCAGCAGUGAGGAAUAUUGGGCAAUGGGGGAAACCCUGACCCAGCAAUGCCGCGUGCGGGAAGACGCCUUUCGGGGUGUAAACCGCUUUUCUGCAUGAAGAGGAAGGACGGUAGUGCAGGAAUAAGUCACGGCUAACUACGUGCCAGCAGCCGCGGUAAUACGUAGGGACCGAGCGUUAUCCGGAAUUACUGGGCGUAAAGGGCACGCAGGCGGAUACAUAAGUCAGCUGUAAAAGGUGGAGGCUUAACCUUCAUUAGCGGUUGAGACUGUAUAUCUGGAGUAUUGCAGAGGUAAGCGGAAUUCCCGGUGUAGCGGUGAAAUGCGUAGAUAUCGGGAAGAACACCAGUGGCGAAGGCGGCUUACUGGGCAAAUACUGACGCUGAGGUGCGAAAGCCAGGGUAGCGAACCGGAUUAGAUACCCCGGUAGUCC
rnacentral:rRNA from 1 species